GGUGAGGGGGGCCGUGUUGGUGCUAUACCAUCGCGCUGCGCGCCGAGGGCCGGUUCUGGUAUGUCCGCGCUAGGCCCCGGGCUACGGGCGGAGCCGGACUCGGCGGGGACCGGCCGGGCUCAGCAGUGGGCGGGGCUGCGGGUAUUUCGGUCUGAGCGCCCGCUGCUUUCAGCCCUGCGCCGGGCGGCCCCCCGAUCGAGCCGUUCCGACCCCCGCCAGGGCCGCGCUGCCAGCGCCGGGGGCUGCGGCCGGGGGCCGCGCUGGGCCGGUUGUGCUGGCUGCUCCCGAGCCGCGCGGUCCCGUCCUGAUACGCUCUGGCGCUUUCCCCCGUUUUCUUGUAGCUACGAUAGCCGGGCCGGCAGGGAGACUCUCCGUGCCGAAGGAGAGGUCUGCAGGAGGAAGUUGUUAGAAAACAGGCUUCAUAAUGGAAACUGUGUUGCAAUUUCAACCUUGCUAUAAUUGCUGCCACCUAGGAUAACUGGAAAAGUAAUGACAUCGUUCAAAAGUUGCCUAAGUAUUUCCAAUCUGAUUUCGACUGGCCUUUGGGGGUGUUGAAGAAAAAAUUAAUGUUGAUCAACAUAGUGUAAGCUGUUCAGAAGAAAAGUGGAGAAUUUGAUACAUGUUUAUAUUUUGAGACUCGUGAUGAAAGAAUAUUGAUUAUUGCAUUGGAGCCAAGGUAGUUGUGAUAUGUCAAAAUAGAUAUUUAUCAUAUUUAAUAAACACGUUACACUCAAGUGGUCAGCAUAAGAUUGGAUAAUCUCUAGACUAGUAAAUAUUGUUUUGAAGGGCUUUGGUGUAGUAAGUGAUGUAACAGGUGUGUACAGUGUUGUCACGUUGUACCUUUUACUGUGUUUUGUUUUUGUUUUUAAAUGAGAUGUUAUGUUUUUGCAUCUCUUGGGGUGCGUUUUAAUAUCUUCCAGUUUUUUUAUUUUUCUUGUAGUAAAUGAACAUAAUUUUUAAAUAAAUGGGAAGGAGAAACAUGGGACUCAGUGGUCUUUUUUCCUAGUCCUGAAAGAUGCUGUGAAAAAAGGGAACCAAACACCUUCACCAUCUCAUGACUGUCUUGAGCAACUGCAAUAUAAACUUGAGGUUCUUGCUAUUUUUCUUUCUUAGUGCAUCGAUUUUCACGCCAUCUUAUUCCUCCCUUCCAUCUCUCUCUUUCUUUAAUGUCUUAAUCUGCCAGGACAAAUCUACCUUUCCAACACUCUACAAUGUCCCUGUUGUGAGGUGGGGAAAUCCUCCUCCCUUUGAAUCAUUGGUUGCUAGAUGUCAAUGAUUAGGCUUUCCAUUAUCUUCUCGGAAUUUCCAUUGAUAUGGAUCAGCUUUGGCCAGUCUUCUUAAUGACCCGCUCAGACAGCAAAGUGACACACAAGCCUUGAUGUCUCUUAAUCUGUCCUGAGAGCAAACUGAGGGCUGGUCUACACUGGCAAUUAACAGUGCUGCAACUGUCUCACUCAGGGGUGUGAAAAAACAUCCCCCUGCCCCAGUGUAAACAGUGCCCCAGUGCUGGGAGCUACGCCCCUCCUCGUUGAGGUGGGUUUUUUUUAGAGCUCUGGGAGAGCUCUCCCAGCACUGCGCUGCGACCACACAAGGCAUGUUAAAGCACUGCCAGUGUAGACUAGCCCUUAAUUCCUCCCCUGCCCCCCCACUGGGUAUGUGGAAAGUAUGUGGGGAAAAUGAGGCACAUAUAGGAUUAACAGAAAUAUUACAGAAAAUUACCACUUUUCUCACAAGGCUUUGAGACUCUCAGUCCUGAGCUAGGAACCUGUUGAGUGGAACCUACUGGCUUUCAACAAAAUUUCAACUGAAAUCAUGGGUUUCAGAGUAGCAGCCGUGUUAGUCUGUAUCCGCAAAAAGAACAGGAGAAGUGGGCUGUAGUCUACGAAAGCUUAUGCUCUAAUAAAUUUGUUAGUCUCUAAGGUGCCACAAGUACUCCUGUUCUUUUAACUGAAAUCAUGAGAAUCAUAUGCAUUUCUUAAGGAUUAAACUUUGUAGUUUAUAGUCUGGAGUGGUCUCUUGUGUUUUUUUGUUUUGUUUUUAUUUUUAAUAACUUUCUAUCUAGAUAGAGACCCUUGUGUAGGAGCACCUCACCCUGAUUCAGUGACCUACUGUGAGUUAAACAGUGUUGGUAGGAGUCUGUUCCACUUGCCUAAAACUACUGCUGCUGUGGAAUAUAAUCCAAAUUUUGAGCUGAAUAUGAAUUAUCAUAGGAUCAAAUUAAUUCAUUGUUUACUUUAUAUCCAACCAUAAAUUCCCAAGUGGAUUUUCUUUCAGUCUGCAUCCUAUCCAUAAAUCCCAUUCAUUGCCACACUGGCUGAAGCCCAACUCACCUGCAUUCAAAGUAAUUUUUUGCAGUUCCUUACCCUUUUCUAAGUCAGCUGAAAAUUGUCAGACUGCUACAAAAUCUCCUCUCAGGUAGGGCAUAGGAGGUUUUGUGGCUUUUGUAUUUUGAAUCUUGCAACGGUGGGCCUGGUUAGCCAUGAAAGUCACUCAAUGUAUUUUGUGUUCAGGAGGGAAUUAUAAUGGCAAGGUCUGAGUUAUCAGCUAUUCACAGCAAACUUAUAUAUUUUGUGACCUCUUGUUAUGUUUUAGUGCUGUCUUGCCCUGGCUAAGGGUGUCUUAUCAACGGAUCAUGUCCUGAUUUUGCCGGUUGCAGGUAGGGUUAUAGCACAGCAGUGUAAGAAUACAACCUCAACUGCUUUGAAAGGGGACAGGUCACAUUUAAACCUAAGCAUAGGCAAACUCCCCUCUUCUCUUUUUUUCCUCCUUGGCAUCCCACAUGGUAGAUAAAAAUUCCGUGAGCAGUAGAUGGGGAACAGGACAAAAGUAAAACCCCUGUGACCACUUAAAUGGCCACUUGAACAUGCUAAUUUUUCCUGUUACAGCAAGUGCACAGAGCUGAGUUUGUUGAAGGACAAUGACAAUAGACAAGAACAUUUAUUGUCUUCAACUGAUAAAGACCAGAGGAGCUUCAUAUAAUUCAGGAGGCUUUCCUCUCUAUUUGGGGUACUGAGAUAUACAGCACAUACUUUUAAGCUUUUCUGCCUGACCAAAUCUUUGGUCAGUGUUCACAAACAUGGAUAGUCAGUGACCAGUUUCUGCUGAACUGAUUAUGGAAGGGUGCAUUGUGGUGGUUUUCUGCCUGGCGGAUCUGUGACAGUGUCAGAGCGGCCUCAACCUACCACAAAGAGUAUAAAGGAGGAGGACAGUCAUGAAAACUUUUCCAGAACUUUUCGUUUUCAGUUAUUCUUCCAGCUCCUACAAGGCAGACCUGCCUCAUAAGUUUAAGUCUGUAGAGACAGUUGAUCAUCUGUCUCACAUGAUGACAAACAGUACUGAGGGGUGUGCAAACCUCCAUGAUGGAUUUAUUGCCUUAUCUAGAAGAAUAGUAUGCUUUGUGUCUUUUUCUUAUUGUGUCCUCCAUCUCCAGGUGAUUCCUGUACCUCUCACUGUUGUGCUACUGAAGACAUUAGAGUCCUCUAUUGUACAAGUGCAAAAACAACAGAUCGAAUUACUAGAAAUCCCAGAGCACUCCGAUAUCACGCAAGUGAGACAUAGACUUCAUUCAAGAGGCAAUGAGACCUAUUCUUCAGUGGAUAUCCAGUUUGCUGCAACUGUUUGAACUCGUCCCCACCUACACCAGGGGUUCUGGUGUCCCAGCUCUGAGGCCUGGUCUACACUACAGAGUUUUUGUUUGCAAGGCAGCUUACGUUGACCUAAUUCUGUAAGCGUCUACACUAAAAUGUUGCUCCUGCCGAUGUAACUCGCCCUCUCCACCGACUUAGUAACUCCACCUCCACGAGAGGCGUGGUGCUUAGGUCAACAUAGUUUGGUUGACACAAUAUCAGUGACACUGCAUUACUUAUGUCUACUUUAGUGGCUUCCAGGAGGUGUCCCACGAUGCCCCAGCAUAACUGCUCUGGUCACCUAUUAGAACUCCGCUGCCUGGCAGUCAGGUAUGCAUGUACAUGUCCCUCCCCCUUUAAAGCCCCGCCAAUUUUAAAUUCUAUUUCAUGUUUGGUUGGUAUAGACAGCUCACAUAGCAACUGUCCAGCUGACCAUGCUGGCGCCACGCAGCAAAGGUGCUCUUGCCAGGAGUACACAGCAGGUGGUGGAUCUCCAUGGUCUGUGGGGAGAAGAGGCUGUGCAGGCACAGGUCUGAUCCAUCUGUAGAAACAUUGACAUCUAUGGCCAGAUCGCUGGGGGCAUGGCGGAGAAGGGCUACAACCGGCACAUGCAGCAGUGCCGUGUAAAAAUCAAGGAGUUGCUGCAGGUGUACCAGAAGGUAAGGGAGGCAAACUGUCACUCUGGUGUGGAACUGCAGACAGGCUGGUUCUACACGGAGCUGCAAGCCUUCCUUGGGGGAAACCACCACCACGAGCCCCGUGGAUAUUUCAGGGGAGCUGGAAGCAGCGGCCCCUGCAGUGCACACUGAGGAGGAGAUGAUGCACGAGGAGGAGUAGUUUUGGAGGACAGGCAACUGGGGGAAUGCUGUGGUGCAGUGAGCCAGGACCUCUUUCUGAACGCCGGAGAGUCCCUACUAUCCAGCACCAGCGAGCCUGAUGCAGGGGAUGGAACCUCUAGCAGAGGGGGCCCUGUGGAACAGUUUGUUUUUGUGCAUUGGGAUGUCCCGGGAAUCCUCCAUAGAGAUCUCAAGAAAACUUUCCUGGAGGAAGUCUGCAGUCCUCUGCUGAAGGUUUCUGGGGAGGACAGCUUUAUUUUUUCCACUGCAGUAGGACACUUUCUCACAGCAGUGAGCAAUUACAUCAGCAGGCACCAAUGCAGCACACAGGCUAGCAGCAUACGGAUCCAGUCUCCAGCCAGACUCGUUCAGGAGCUGUUCUCUUUCAGCCUCUGUUACCCUUGGGAGUGAGAUAUCAGCUAAAAUUACCACCGCCUGUGGAAAACAGUGCCAGUAUUCCAUUCAGUUGCCCUAUCGACAUAUACUGAUGCCCAUGUGCUCACCCCUAUUAUUGUCCAAAAUCGCCCACUUAUUCCCCCGGGGCAUAAUCAUCAUGGCUAAGGCUAUGUUUUAGUCACGGGUAUUUUUAGUAAAAGUCAUGGACAGGUCACAGGCCAUAAACAAAAAUUCACGGCCUGUGACCUGUCCAUGACUUUUACUAAAAAUACCCGCCCUGACUAAAACUUGGGUGGGUGGCCAUGGGUGCUCUGGGAGGGGCGGUCCAGGGGCGCUGCUGGAAGUGGCCUGGGACCCGUGCUUGGGGGUGGGUGGGUUGGCGGGGCUGGGAGGGGCUUCCUACCUUGCUUCGUGUCCCUGCAGCUCCUCGGUGGUGGAGGCAGGGGCCCCUCUGCUCCCACCACAAGCACCGGCUGCCGCAGCCCCCAUUGGUGGGGAACCACAGCCAAUGGGAGCUGUGGGGGUGGGGCCUGCAGGCAGCAUGUGGUGUGGAUCACCCUGCCCCUCCGCUGCCUAGGAGGUGCAAGGGGACCAUGUCAGUGGGAGCCAGGGAGCCUCCCACCCCAAGGUAAGUGCCCCUCCCCCCACCCCUAGCCCUGAGCCCCCUCCCACACACCCAAACUGCUGCUGUUGGCCCAGGGGCUGCCCAGCUUGGGCAGUCCCUGAGCCAGCACCAGCCGCUGCAGAAGUCAUGGAGGUCAUGGAAUCCGUGACCUUUAUGACGGACUCGCAGCCUUAAUCAUGGCUGGGACUGCUGCCGUGCUCUAUGAAUCCCAAAAGAGCAUGUAGUGCUUGUAACUUAUGUGGAUCAAGGGGAGUGAAAACACUCACAAUAGUACCUCUAUGCAUUGUGCUUUUUGCAGCUGGAAAUGUGGCCUUGAGGUUCUCUCCAUCCACACCACUGGAGUGGCUCAGAUGAUGAGAAGAAAGGGGAUGAGGGACAUGUUCCACGAGAUCCUGCAAGCCUCUGGUGUUGCACAUACCGAGCAGAGGGCUUGGAGGAGCACCCUUGUGGACAGAAUGGAAAGGGAUAGUGCAGAGAGGAGGAAAAGGACAGACACAUGCAGCAAGUCAUGUUAGCGCUUCUCAAGCGCCAGAUGGACAUGCUGGAGAUUCUUAUAGACCUGUAGGUCCAAGUAAUCCUUGCUUGCCUCCAGCUGCAGUCUAUCAAUAACUGCAUUCUGGGACCUCCCUAUGCUCCCUGCCCCUACAUUCCACAUAUGUUUCAUGGCCACUGCAUUACCCCUACCACUCCACCCCGAGGGAGAGUACACACAAUCAGAGCUGCACGUACACUGACCUAUGAGAGAGACGGUUGGUGUAUUUGUGUUUGAAAUGAGAAUGACUGUUCUUUCCCCAUCAAAGGUUCUUUUCCCUAUAUUUAUAUAGUUUCAUUCAGUUACAGUUAUUUUUGUUUGCAUGAGUUUGGAAUAAAAGUCUAUUUAUGGAAACUUAA